UACAGAGGUCUCAAGCGUUGUUCGGAUUCAUUGGGCGUAAAGGGCGCGUAGGCGGCCCGUUAAGUCGAACGUGAAAUCCCCGGGCUCAACCCGGGAACUGCGUCCGAGACUGGCGGGCUCGAAUUCGGGAGAGGGAUGUGGAAUUCCAGGUGUAGCGGUGAAAUGCGUAGAUAUCUGGAGGAACAUCGGUGGCGAAGGCGGCAUCCUGGACCGAUAUUGACGCUGAGGCGCGAAAGCGUGGGGAGCAAACAGG
rnacentral:rRNA from 1 species